ACUCCUACGGGAGGCAGCAGUGGGGAAUAUUGCACAAUGGGCGCAAGCCUGAUGCAGCCAUGCCGCGUGUAUGAAGAAGGCCUUCGGGUUGUAAAGUACUUUCAGCAGUGAGGAAGGUGGGUAGUGUUAAUAGCAUAUUCUAUUUGUACGUUAGCUGCAGAAGAAGCACCGGCUAACUCCGUGCCAGCAGCCGCGGUAAUACGGAGGGUGCGAGCGUUAAUCGGAAUUACUGGGCGUAAAGCGCAUGCAGGUGGUUGUUAAGUCAGAUGUGAAAGCCCGGGGCUCAACCUCGGAAUUGCAUUUGAAACUGGCAAACUAGAGUACUGUAGAGGGGGUAGAAUUUCAGGUGUAGCGGUGAAAUGCGUAGAGAUCGUGAAGGAAGUACCGGUGGCGAAGGCGGCCCCUGGACAGAUACUGACACUCAGAUGCGAAAGCGUGGGAGCAAACAGGAUUAGAU
rnacentral:rRNA from 1 species